GCGUUCUCAACGGGGUGCCUGACAUACGCAACGUCAUUCGGAUAGAAAGCGUGCGCGUACAAGCUGAGAGAUACCCGUCGAACCUGAUCCGGAUAACGCCGGCGAAGGGAUUUGAGGCCCGCUCAAAG
rnacentral:ncRNA from 2 species